GACGAACGCUGGCGGCGUGCUUAACACAUGCAAGUCGAACGAAGUGGCGAACGGGUGAGUAACGCGUAAUCAACCUGCCAUUCAGAGGGGGACAACAGUUGGAAACGACUGCUAAUACCGCAUACGGAAGGAGGGGCAUGGGUCUGCUUCGCUAGUUGGAGGGGUUACGGCCCACCAAGGCGAAGAACAGGAGCCGGGCUGGGAAGGUGAACGGCCAAAAUGGGAAUGGGAAACGGCCCAGAAUCCUACGGGAGGCAGCAGGUGGGGAACUUCCGAAAUGGGCGAAAGUCUGACGGAGCAACUCCGCGUGAGUGAUGACGGGCUUCGGGUUGUAAAGCUCUGUUAAUCGGGACGCGGUACCGGAAUAGAAAGCCACGGCUAACUACGUGCCAGCAGCCGCGGUAAUUC
rnacentral:rRNA from 1 species